GAUGAACGCUGGCGGCGUGCUUAACACAUGCAAGUCGAACGAAGCAUUUAGAACAGAUUACUUCGGUUUGAAGUUCUUUAUGACUGAGUGGCGGACGGGUGAGUAACGCGUGGGUAACCUGCCUUGUACUGGGGGAUAGCAGCUGGAAACGGCUGGUAAUACCGCAUAAGCGCACAAUGUUGCAUGACAUGGUGUGAAAAACUCCGGUGGUAUAAGAUGGACCCGCGUCUGAUUAGCUAGUUGGUGAGAUAACAGCCCACCAAGGCGACGAUCAGUAGCCGACCUGAGAGGGUGACCGGCCACAUUGGGACCGAGACACGGCCCAGACUCCUACGGGAGGCAGCAGUGGGGAAUAUUGCACAAUGGAGGAAACUCUGAUGCAGCGACGCCGCGUGAGUGAAGAAGUAAUUCGUUAUGUAAAGCUCUAUCAGCAGGGAAGAUAGUGACGGUACCUGACUAAGAAGCUCCGGCUAAAUACGU
rnacentral:rRNA from 1 species